GACGAACGCUGGCGGCGUGCCUAAUACAUGCAAGUCGAACGCAGUGGGGACGGUUUAGUAACACGUGGGUAACCUCCCAUCAGAGGGGAUAACACUUGGAAACCGGUGCUAAACCGAUACUGAUGGAUGGACCCGCGGUGCAUUAGCUAGUUGGUGAGGUAACGGCUCACCAAGGCCACGAUGCAUAGCCGGCCUGAGAGGGGGAUCGGCCACACUGGGACUGAGACACGGCCCAGACUCCUACGGGAGGCAGCAGUAGGGAAUCUUCGGCAAUGGACGAAAGUCUGACCGAGCAACGCCGCGUGAGUGAAGAAGGUUUUCGGAUCGUAAAACUCUGUUGUUAGAGAAGCGGUAUCUAACCAGAAAGCAACGGCUAACUACGUGCCAGCAGCCGCGGUAAUAC
rnacentral:rRNA from 1 species